UGCUAGCGGCGGACGGGUGAGUAACACGUGGAUAACCUACCUAUAAGACUGGGAUAACUUCGGGAAACCGGAGCUAAUACCGGGUAAUAUUUUGAACCGCAUGGUUCAAAAGUGAAACGACGGUCUUGCUGUCACUUAUAGAUGGAUCCGCGCUGCAUUAGCUAGUUGGUAACGGUAACGGCUUACCAAGGCAACGAUGCAUAGCCGACCUGAGAGGGUGAUCGGCCACACUGGAACUGAGACACGGUCCAGACUCCUACGGGAGGCAGCAGUAGGGAAUCUUCCGCAAUGGGCGAAAGCCUGACGGAGCAACGCCGCGUGAGUGAUGAAGGUCUUCGGAUCGUAAAACUCUGGUAGUAGGGAAGAACAUAUGUGUAAGUAACUUGUGCACAUCUUGACGGUACCUAAUCAGAAAGCCAAGGAUAACUACGUGCCAGCAGCCGCGGUAAUACGUAGGUGGCAAGCGUUAUCCGGAAUUAUUGGGCGUAAAGCGCGCGUAGGCGGUUUUUUAAGUCUGAUGUGAAAGCCCACGGCUCAACCGUGGAGGGUCAUUGGAAACUGGAUAACUUGAGUCAGAAGAGCGCAAAGUGGAAUUCCAUGUGUAGCUGGUGAAAUGCGCAGAGAUAUGGAGGAACACCAGUUGGCGAAGGCGACUGUUGCUGGGUGCUGUAACUGACGCUGAUGUGCGAAAGCGUGGGGGAUCAAACAGGAUUAGAUACCACUGGUAGUCCACGCCGUAAACGAUGCCCCCUAUAGUGUUAGGGGGUUUCCGCCCCUUAGUGC
rnacentral:rRNA from 1 species